rnacentral:rRNA from 1 species
CAAACUGCGAAUACCGGAGAAUGUUAUCACGGGAGACACACGGCGGGUGCUAACGUCCGUCGUGAAGAGGGAAACAACCCAGACCGCCAGCUAAGGUCCCAAAGUCAUGGUUAAGUGGGAAACGAUGUGGGAAGGCCCAGACAGCCAGGAUGUUGGCUUAGAAGCAGCCAUCAUUUAAAGAAAGCGUAAUAGCUCACUGGUCGAGUCGGCCUGCGCGGAAGAUGUAACGGGGCUAAACCAUGCACCGAAGCUGCGGCAGCGACACUCAGGUGUUGUUGGGUAGGGGAGCGUUCUGUAAGYCUGYGAAGGUGKSYYGUGAGGSWUGCUGGAGGUAUCAGAAGUGCGAAUGCUGACAUAAGUAACGAUAAAGCGGGUGAAAAGCCCGCUCGCCGGAAGACCAAGGGUUCCUGUCCAACGUUAAUCGGGGCAGGGUGAGUCGACCCCUAAGGCGAGGCCGAAAGGCGUAGUCGAUGGGAAACGGGUUAAUAUUCCCGUACUUGGUGUUACUGCGAAGGGGGGACGGAGAAGGCUAUGUUGGCCGGGCGACGGUUGUCCCGGUUUAAGCGUGUAGGUGUGUGUUCCAGGUAAAUCCGGUUCACUUUAACACUGAGGCGUGAUGACGAGGCACUACGGUGCUGAAGCAACAAAUGCCCUGCUUCCAGGAAAAGCCUCUAAGCAUCAGGUAACAUCAAAUCGUACCCCAAACCGACACAGGUGGUCAGGUAGAGAAUACCAAGGCGCUUGAGAGAACUCGGGUGAAGGAACUAGGCAAAAUGGUGCCGUAACUUCGGGAGAAGGCACGCUGACAUGUAGGUGAAGUGAUUUACUCAUGGAGCUGAAGUCAGUCGAAGAUACCAGCUGGCUGCAACUGUUUAUUAAAAACACAGCACUGUGCAAACACGAAAGUGGACGUAUACGGUGUGACGCCUGCCCGGUGCCGGAAGGUUAAUUGAUGGGGUCAGCGCAAGCGAAGCUCCUGAUCGAAGCCCCGGUAAACGGCGGCCGUAACUAUAACGGUCCUAAGGUAGCGAAAUUCCUUGUCGGGUAAGUUCCGACCUGCACGAAUGGCGUAAUGAUGGCCAGGCUGUCUCCACCCGAGACUCAGUGA